UACGUAGGGGGCAAGCGUUGUCCGGAUUUAUUGGGCGUAAAGAGCGUGUAGGCGGCCUGACAGGUCUGCUGUGAAAACUCGAGGCUCAACCUCGAGAUGUCGGCGGAAACCGUCUGGCUAGAGUCCGGAAGAGGAGAGUGGAAUUCCUGGUGUAGCGGUGAAAUGCGCAGAUAUCAGGAAGAACACCCGUGGCGAAAGCGGCUCGCUGGAACGGUACUGACGCUGAGACGCGAAAGCGUGGGGAGCGAACAGG
rnacentral:rRNA from 1 species